GACGAACGCUGGCGGCGUGCCUAAUACAUGCAAGUCGAACGCUUCUUUCCUCCCGAGUGCUUGCACUCAAUUGGAAAGAGGAGUGGCGGACGGGUGAGUAACACGUGGGUAACCUACCCAUCAGAGGGGGAUAACACUUGGAAACAGGUGCUAAUACCGCAUAACAGUUUAUGCCGCAUGGCAUAAGAGUGAAAGGCGCUUUCGGGUGUCGCUGAUGGAUGGACCCGCGGUGCAUUAGCUAGUUGGUGAGGUAACGGCUCACCAAGGCCACGAUGCAUAGCCGAACUGAGAGGGUGAUCGGCCACACUGGGACUGAGACACGGCCCAGACUCCUACGGGAGGCAGCAGUAGGGAAUCUUCGGCAAUGGACGAAAGUCUGACCGAGCAACGCCGCGUGAGUGAAGAAGGUUUUCGGAUCGUAAAACUCUGUUGUUAGAGAAGAACAAGGACGUUAGUAACUGAACGUCCCCUGACGGUAUCUAACCAGAAAGCCACGGCUAACUACGUG
rnacentral:rRNA from 1 species